UACGUAGGGUGCGAGCGUUGUUCGGAAUUACUGGGCGUAAAGAGCUCGUAGGUGGUUUGUCGCGUCGUCUGUGAAAUUCCGGGGCUUAACCUCGGGCGUGCAGGCGAUACGGGCAAUACUUGAGUGCUGUAGGGGAGACUGGAAUUCCUGGUGUAGCGGUGAAAUGCGCAGAUAUCAGGAGGAACACCGAUGGCGAAGGCAGGUCUCUGGGCAGUAACUGACGCUGAGGAGCGAAAGCAUGGGUAGCGAACAGGAUUAGA
rnacentral:rRNA from 1 species